UGCCUUCGGGAACUCGAACACAGGUGCUGCAUGGCUGUCGUCAGCUCGUGUCGUGCGAUGUUGGGUUAAGUCCCGCAACGAGCGCAACCCUUGUCCUUAGUUGCCAGCACGUAAUGGUGGGAACUCUCAGGAGACCGCCGGUGACAAACCGGAGGAAGGUGGGGAUGACGUCAAGUCAUCAUGGCCGUUACGGCCAGGGCUACACACGUACUACAAUGGUAGGGACUGAGGGCUGCAAGCCGGCGACGGUAAGCCAAUCCCAGAAACCCUAUCUCAGUCCGGAUUGGAGUCUGCAACUCGACUCCAUGAAGUCGGAAUCGCUAGUAAUCGCAGAUCAGCUUGCUGCGGUGAAUACGUUCCCGGGCCUUGUACACACCGCCCGUCACACCAUGGGAGUUUGUUGCACCAGA
rnacentral:rRNA from 1 species